UAAGGAAUAUUGGUCAAUGGACGCAAGCCUGAACCAGCCAUGCCGCGUGGAGGAUGAAGGUCCUCUGGAUUGUAAACUUCUUUUAUCUGGGAAGAAAUCCAUUUUUUCUAAGAUGGUUGACGGUACCAGACGAAUAAGCACCGGCUAACUCCGUGCCAGCAGCCGCGGUAAUACGGAGGGUGCAAGCGUUAUCCGGAUUCACUGGGUUUAAAGGGUGCGUAGGUGGGCAGUUAAGUCAGUGGUGAAAUCUCCGGGCUUAACCCGGAAACUGCCAUUGAUACUAUCUGUCUUGAAUGCCGUGGAGGUAAGCGGAAUAUGUCAUGUAGCGGUGAAAUGCUUAGAUAUGACAUAGAACACCAAUUGCGAAGGCAGCUUACUACACGAAUAUUGACACUGAGGCACGAAAGCGUGGGGAUCGAAACAGGAUUAGAUACCCUGGUAGUCCACGCCCUAAACGAUGGAUACUCGACAUACGCGAUACACAGUG
rnacentral:rRNA from 1 species